GAUGAACGCUGACAGAAUGCUUAACACAUGCAAGUCCACUUGAAUUUGGGUUUUUAACUUAGGUUUGGGUGGCGGACGGGUGAGUAACGCGUAAAGAACUUGCCUCACAGCUAGGGACAACAUUUGGAAACGAAUGCUAAUACCUAAUAUUAUGAUAAUAGGGCAUCCUAUAAUUAUGAAAGCUAUAAGCGCUGUGAGAGAGCUUUGCGUCCCAUUAGCUAGUUGGAGAGGUAACGGCUCACCAAGGCGAUGAUGGGUAGCCGGCCUGAGAGGGUGAUCGGCCACAAGGGGACUGAGACACGGCCCUUACUCCUACGGGAGGCAGCAGUGGGGAAUAUUGGACAAUGGACCGAGAGUCUGAUCCAGCAAUUCUGUGUGCACGAAGAAGUUUUUCGGAAUGUAAAGUGCUUUCAGUUGGGAAGAAACAAAUGACGGUACCAACAGAAGAAGUGACGGCUAAAUACGUG
rnacentral:rRNA from 1 species